UCCGAGUUGACCCCGGCAGUCUCCGAUGAGUCCCCGGCAUAACCCGCUGGCAACAUCGGACAAGGGUUGCGCUCGUUGCGGGACUUAACCCAACAUCUCACGACACGAGCUGACGACAGCCAUGCACCACCUGUGCACGAGCCCCGAAGGGCUUACGUAUUUCUACGCAAUUCCCGUGCAUGUCAAGCCCUGGUAAGGUUCUUCGCGUUGCGUCGAAUUAAGCCACAUGCUCCGCCGCUUGUGCGGGCCCCCGUCAAUUCCUUUGAGUUUCAGCCUUGCGGCCGUACUCCCCAGGCGGGGCGCUUAAUGCGUUAGCUGCGGCACGGAGGACGUGGAAUGUCCCCCACACCUAGCGCCCAACGUUUACGGCGUGGACUAC
rnacentral:misc_RNA from 1 species